rnacentral:misc_RNA from 1 species
AAGUCGUAACAAGGUUUCCGUAGGUGAACCUGCGGAAGGAUCAUUUCCAAACAAACAUUCUUACAAACCAACCUUGUGAAAUGUUUUGGGUUCUUUUACUCUUGGGAAUAGGAGUGUGUGAUGUUGUUGUUGCUGCUGUUGUAUUUGGUCUCCGGACCCUAUACACGCGCGCGCACACACACACCACUCUUAUCUCCCAAGAGGCCAUGAUGAACUACCUUCGGGUUGAUAGUUAUCGUUCUUUUUGUGAUCAAAAAGCAAAAAUAAAUGAUACGACAACUUUUAACGGUGGAUCUCUUGGCUCGU